rnacentral:tRNA from 1 species
GCCUUCGUGGUGUAGUAGUCAGCACGCUCGACAGGUAUUCGAGAGGGCAAUGGUUCGAGUCCCGGCGAGAGCA